rnacentral:rRNA from 1 species
AAGAGUUUGAUCCUGGCUCAGGAUUAACGCUGGCGGCGUGCCUAAUACAUGCAAGUCGAACGGAAACCUUCGGGUUUUAGUGGCGAACGGGUGAGUAACACGUAAGCAACCUACCCUAAAGACGAGGAUAACCAUUGGAAACAGUGGCUAAGACUGGAUAGGAAGAUAAAAGGCAUCUUUUAUCUUUUAAAAGACCUAGUAAUAGGUAUGCUUUAGGAGGGGCUUGCGCCAUAUUAGUUAGUUGGUAGGGUAAUGGCCUACCAAGACGAUGAUGUGUAGCUGGACUGAGAGGUUGAACAGCCACAUUGGGACUGAGACACGGCCCAAACUCCUACGGGAGGCAGCAGUAGGGAAUUUUCGGCAAUGGAGGAAACUCUGACCGAGCAACGCCGCGUGAAUGACGAAGUACUUCGGUAUGUAAAGUUCUUUUAUCAAGGAAGAAAAGCAAAUGGCGAACCAUUUGUUUGCCGGUACUUGAUGAAUAAGCCCCGGCUAAUUAUGUGCCAGCAGCCGCGGUAAGACAUAAGGGGCAAGUGUUAUCCGGAAUUAUUGGGCGUAAAGGGUGCGUAGGCGGUCUAGUAAGUCAGUGGUGUAAUGGCAACGCUUAACGUUGUCCGGCUAUUGAAACUGCUAAACUUGAGUUAGAUAGAGGCGAGUGGAAUUCCAUGUGUAGCGGUAAAAUGCGUAAAUAUAUGGAGGAACACCAGAGGCGUAGGCGGCUCGCUGGGUCUUAACUGACGCUGAGGCACGAAAGCGUGGGGAGCAAACAGGAUUAGAUACCCUGGUAGUCCACGCCGUAAACGAUGAGUACUAAGUGUCGGGUUAAACCGGUACUGAAGUUAACACAUUAAGUACUCCGCCUGAGUAGUACGUACGCAAGUAUGAAACUUAAAGGAAUUGACGGGACUCCGCACAAGCGGUGGAUCAUGUUGUUUAAUUCGAAGAUACCCGAAAAACCUUACCAGGUCUUGACAUGUUUUUGCAAAAUGAUAGUAAUAUCGUGGAGGUUACCAGAAACACAGGUGGUGCAUGGUUGUCGUCAGCUCGUGUCGUGAGAUGUUAGGUUAAGUCCUAAAACGAGCGAAACCCUUAUCGUUAGUUGCCAGCACGUUAUGGUGGGGACUUUAACGAGACUGCCAAUGAUAAAUUGGAGGAAGGUGAGGAUCACGUCAAAUCAGCAUGCCCCUUAUGACCUGGGCUACAAACGUGAUACAAUGGCUGUUACAAAGGGUAGCUGAAACGCAAGUUCUUGGCCAAUCCCCAAAAACAGUCCCAGUCCGGAUUGAAGUCUGCAACUCGACUUCAUGAAGUUGGAAUCGCUAGUAAUCGCGAAUCAGCAUGUCGCGGUGAAUACGUUCUCGGGGUUUGUACACACCGCCCGUCAAACCACGAAAGUUGGCAAUACCCCAAAACGGUAGCCUAACUCGUUUAUUCGAGAGGGCGCCGUCUAAGGUAGGGUCGAUGAUUGGGGUUAAGUCGUAACAAGGUAUCCCUACCGGAAGGUGGGGAUGGAUCACCUCCUUUCUAAGGAAACCAAUAAAAUCAAUCAUCUUCAGUUUUGAAAGACUUAGGCAACUAAGUUUUUCUUCGUGACUUCACGAAGGGCCUAUAGCUCAGUUGGUUAGAGCACACGCCUGAUAAGCGUGAGGUCGGUGGUUCAAGUCCAUUUAGGCCCACCAGAGUUAUAGGUUUCGUAAGAACACAAAUUCUUUGAAAAUUAGGUAAAUAAUAGUUAUUUAUCCGGAACAUUAAAGGAAAUAAGAGCGCACAGUGGAUGCCUAGGCUCCAAGAGCCGAUGAAGGACGCAAUCGCCCCUUAAAGUAGGCGAG